GCUCUUGUGGCCAAAUUGGUAAAGGCGUUUGUCUGAAGAACAAAUUAGAAAUAAAUGCAGGUUCGAGUCCUGCCUAGAGCA
rnacentral:tRNA from 1 species